rnacentral:rRNA from 1 species
AGGACGAACGCUGGCGGCGUGCUUAACACAUGCAAGUCGAGCGGAAAGGCCCUUCGGGGUACUCGAGCGGCGAACGGGUGAGUAACACGUGAGCAACCUGCCCUUAGCUUCGGGAUAGCUCCGGGAAACCGGAAUUAAUACCGAAUAUGACUUUGGCUGACAUCAGCAGAAGUGGAAAGUUUUUCGGCUGGGGAUGGACUCGCGGCCUAUCAGCUUGUUGGUGGGGUAAUGGCCUACCAAGGCGACGACGGGUA